rnacentral:rRNA from 1 species
UACGGAGGGUGCGAGCGUUGAUCGGAAUUACUGGGCGUAAAGGGUGCGCAGGCGGCCGAGCAAGUCGAGUGUGAAAGCCCCGAGCUUAACUUGGGAACUGCGCUCGAAACUACUUGGCUAGAGUGUGGCAGAGGGAGGUGGAAUUCCACGUGUAGCGGUGAAAUGCGUAGAGAUGUGGAGGAACACCGAUGGCGAAGGCAGCCUCCUGGGCCAACACUGACGCUCAUGCACGAAAGCGUGGGGAGCAAACAGG